UUUUUUUGUCACCCCCCUACCUGCUUGUUAACUGGUCAGGGAGGGGGGCUAUCUUAAUCCCUGGUGGUCCAGUGGCAUGGGCUGUGAAGUGGGGGGGCCGGCAGGAAGCAUUUACUUACCUUUCCUGCAGCUCCUGUCAGCUCCUUUCUCCUCCGUUCCGGUCAGCUCCACUGUAAGUCUCGCGGUCUGGUUGCCGCGCGGAUCGUUGCC